CCUACGGGUGGCAGCAGUGAGGAAUAUUGGUCAAUGGACGAGAGUCUGAACCAGCCAAGUAGCGUGAAGGAUGACUGCCCUAUGGGUUGUAAACUUCUUUUAUAUGGGAAUAAAAUGUUCCACGUGUGGGAUUUUGUAUGUACCAUAUGAAUAAGGAUCGGCUAACUCCGUGCCAGCAGCCGCGGUAAUACGGAGGAUCCGAGCGUUAUCCGGAUUUAUUGGGUUUAAAGGGAGCGUAGGUGGAUUGUUAAGUCAGUUGUGAAAGUUUGCGGCUCAACCGUAAAAUUGCAGUUGAGACUGGCAGUCUUGAGUACAGUAGAGGUGGGCGGAAUUCGUGGUGUAGCGGUGAAAUGCUUAGAUAUCGCGAAGAACUCCGAUUGCGAAGGCAGUUCACUGGACUGCAACUGACACUGAGGCUCGAAAGUGUGGGUAUCAAACAGGAUUAGAUACCCCUGUAGUC
rnacentral:rRNA from 1 species